UUAUUGUUGCUGUAGGCCCUCCUACAUAGUAUGGUCCGUUUAACGUAAGAAAAAAUGCAACGAAAUUUUCAUCACAUUUGAACAAUUGUAUUUGUUUUUUAGCUUUGAAAUUAUAAUAUUACGACUAAGGUGACUUUGUAGUUCGAUAUGAAAAAUAUUACACUAAUAUUAGUUACGCUGUGUCUUCUUUAUUCCACAAAAGUGACUUUGACUUGGUCGCCGUUCAAUUGUCCUCCAGGCCAAGUUUACAACUCUUGUGGCAGUCCAUGCAAUUCGACAUGUGAAGAUCCAACUCCCACUUGUAAGCGUUCCUGUGUACAACGAUGCCAGUGCCCCCUAGAUAAACCCUUUCAUCGCGAUGGAAAGUGUGUUGCGCACGAUGAUUGCAAAGAUAAAGAAGGAGAGAAAAAAUGGCCACCACUUGACUGCCCAGCUGACCAAAUAUACAAAAGAUGUGGAAGUUUGUGUAACUUGACUUGUAAAGAACCUUUCCCUACUUGUAGACGUAUGUGUGUGGAACGUUGUUCUUGUCGUUCCGAUAAGCCUUUUUAUCACAAGGGAAAGUAAGAAUUCUUCAGUCAUAUUUUCGUAUUCAAUAACCUAAAACCAAUGUUUGCUAUCUACAUUAAAAUUGAUAUGUGACGAAAAUGAUUAAAAUUUAUGUAAAGCAAAUUAUAAAAUUUUGGAAAUUAUAUGGUGGUUGUAUAUGACCAUUAAAAUUUAAUGCUGGCUGGGAUCUGAAACAUUUUAGCAUUGGAUAAUAAUUUUUUUGGUACAAUUAUCAAAAGUAUUUUAAUAGUAAGGGCUGUAGUUAUGGAUCAAUAUUCCCUAUUGUAAACUUUUUAUUCUUUUGCUAGGUGGCUGUCAAAUAUUCUAGUUGUAUAGAAGAUGACGAAAAAAAAAGACAUACAUGAUAUAAUGUGCCCACCAACUCAAAAUUUCAACUAUGUGGUAGUCGAUGUAAUAAAACUUGUGACGAUGGCGGAAAGAAAAAUCUUGCGCUCGGAUAUGUGUGACGAGAUGCGGAUGCCCAUAUGAGAGGCCGAUAUGGCACGAUAACAGGUGUAUACCCUUUUCGAAGUGCCCGAAAAAGCCAGAAUCCGGUGCGAGAAGUCAUCAAGGAGCAAACAAGGACAAAAUACCUAUACCCAUUGCAGCCUUUAGCAUGAUGGACAAAGCACUAGCACUGAUGAAGGAAUUGCAGUUGAAAAGUUAACGUAAACAAAUCAUAGUCUGUAUCAACAUAUCAUAAAAGUACUGGAUCAAAUAUCUCCAAAUCAUCUCUAUAUCUAUCUAAUAGUUUAGAAACCUGAGUUUUGAAAUGAACCGAAUUUUUUUCCAUUUGUUUUUAUAAAUUUGCUGUCACAGCUUUACGAAUCGUUUUUCCUGAUGUUUUUUAUAUUUAUAUGUUAACAUGAAAAAGUCAAGAGACAGGAAAACCCAACAUAUUCGUGUGCCAUGUCAUUAUUCUAAUUUUGUACGAUGGUGAUCCUAACACUUUCUGCGAGUUACAUUGAACUAGUUUAGAUGAAUCCGUUGUAUGUAAGCUUUUAAGAUAUUGAUAUAUAUGAAUAUUUAAAUAUGAAA